UUCAGGGGUAAACCUGAGAAACCCGAAAGGUCGAAGGGGGAAAUUCAUUCGCGUCUCGACCGUCGGAGCGGAACGUUCGAGCGACGGACGGCGUACGCGUCGUCCGCGCCUUACGUUUCGCGUUUCGACGUCGAACGCGUGCACUUUUCCCCUAGUAGGACGUCGCGAUCCGUUGGGUGUCGGUCUAAGGCUCGCGGUGGAGACCGAGCGCGCGUUUCGGCGCAGCGCUCGGACCCGCGGUGUCCCGGCCGACUCGCUCGACGGUAUACAGAUGGCGCGGGGCCGCUGCAAUUCAGUUAGCGUUCGGCCCGCGGCAAGCGCGUUCGUCGCUGGCGGCGAUCGGACCCGGUGCCGGUCCUGCCCCCGAACGACUGUUGGCCGCGGUGUUCUCGAACAGACCCCGAUUUCGAAACGCCGAUCUGCGACGCUAUAGCUUUGGGUACUUUCAGGACCCACGGACCAAGGAGUCUAGCAUGUGCGCGAGUCAUUGGGACAUAACUAAACCUAAAGGCGCAAUGAAAGUGAAGGUUCGCCUCGCGCGAACCGAGGGAGGAUGGGCGGUUCGCGUUUGCGCGCGUCCGCUCCGCACUCCCGGGGCGUCUCGUUCUCAUCGCGAGAAGAGGCGCACCAAGAGC
rnacentral:rRNA from 1 species